GACGAACGCUGGCGGCGUGCUUAACACAUGCAAGUCGAACGGAAAGGCCCUGCUUUUGUGGGGUGCUCGAGUUGCGAACGGGUGAGUAACACGUGAGUAACCUGCCCUUGACUUUGGGAUAACUUCAGGAAACUGGGGCUAAUACCGGAUAGGAGCUCCUGCUGCAUGGUGGGGGUUGGAAAGUUUCGGCGGUUGGGGAUGGACUCGCGGCUUAUCAGCUUGUUGGUGGGGUAGUGGCUUACCAAGGCUUUGACGGGUAGCCGGCCUGAGAGGGUGACCGGCCACAUUGGGACUGAGAUACGGCCAAGACUCCUACGGGAGGAAGCAGUGGGGAAUAUUGCAAAAUGGGCGGAAGCCGGAUGCAGCAACGCCGCGUGCGGGAUGACGGCCUUCGGGUUGUAAACCGCUUUCGCCUGUGACGAAGCGUGAGUGACGGUAAUGGGUAAAGAAGCACCGGCUAACUACGUG
rnacentral:rRNA from 1 species